rnacentral:rRNA from 1 species
CUGCUCAGAUUGAACGCUGGCGGCAGGCCUAACACAUGCAAGUCGAGCGGAUGACGGGAGCUUGCUCCUUGAUUCAGCGGCGGACGGGUGAGUAAUGCCUAGGAAUCUGCCUGGUAGUGGGGGACAACGUUUCGAAAGGAACGCUAAUACCGCAUACGUCCUACGGGAGAAAGCAGGGGACCUUCGGGCCUUGCGCUAUCAGAUGAGCCUAGGUCGGAUUAGCUAGUUGGUGGGGUAAUGGCUCACCAAGGCGACGAUCCGUAACUGGUCUGAGAGGAUGAUCAGUCACACUGGAUAUGAGACACGGUCCAGACUCCUACGGGAGGCAGCAGUGGGGAAUAUUGGACAAUGGGCGAAAGCCUGAUCCAGCCAUGCCGCGUGUGU